rnacentral:other from 1 species
AGACCCCUGCGAUGUUUGUGAUUGUUGUAUGUCCUUUGCCUAACGCUACAAAAAAGGGUAGCCACGCUGAUACUGGUGUGCAUGUUCCUGUUUUUAAUAAGGAAAAGCCUUAAAGUAUUAUUGGAGACCCACUUAUUGAACUCCGGUUCAAAGACAUUUACAACACGGCAUGAUGUGGGGGUUCU